AGUGACUAUAUACCUUGCACAAGCUGUGAUCUUGGAACCAAAUUACCAAAAUAUGGUGUCGUUUUGCGUAAAGUCUGUUUUACUAUUGAUGUUCUUUUCCUACCUAACUUCUACAAACGGCCAAUGAGGACCACCAGCCACUAAGGGCACUACUAAGGGUGGUGGCGGUGGUUUAAGUAUUUCGUGCCUCGCAACAUUGAAGAAACGGCAGGUCAGGGCAGUUUCUGGUGUUGAUGAAUUCCAAGAACGAAGAAGGGGAGAAACCGAGAGUGAAGAUGAAAUUAUUGAACGGUUGGUUGACGCUGGAAUGAAUAAUUAGCAGUUAGCACGUGGAUAAAAGACUGUAGAAAACAAG